GAUGAAGAACGCAGCGAAAUGCGAUAAGUAAUGUGAAUUGCAGAAUUCAGUGAAUCAUCGAAUCUUUGAACGCACAUUGCGCCCGCCAGUAUUCUGGCGGGCAUGCCUGUUCGAGCGUCAUUACAACCCUCAGGCCCCCGGGCCUGGCGUUGGGGAUCGGCGGAGCCCCCCGUGGGCACACGCCGUCCCCCAAAUGCAGUGGCGGUCCCGCCGCAGCUUCCAUCGCGUAGUAGCUAAUACCUCGCGACUGGAGAGCGGCGCGGCCACGCCGUAAAACACCCAACUCUUCUGAAGUUGACCUCGAAUCAGGUAGGAAUACCCGCUGAACUUAAGCAUAUCAAUAAGCGGAGGA
rnacentral:misc_RNA from 1 species